rnacentral:tRNA from 1 species
GGGGUUGUGGCUCAGUGGUAGAGUACCCACCUAGCACAGGUGAGGCACUGGGUUUGAUCCUCAGCACCACA